rnacentral:rRNA from 1 species
CGCGUAGGCGGUUUCUAAAGUCAGAUGUGAAAUCCCGGGGCUUAACCCCGGAAGUGCAUUUGGAACUUAGGGUCUUGAGUAUGGGAGAGGGAAGUGGAAUUCCUGGUGUAGCGGUGAAAUGCGUAGAUAUCAGGAGGAACACCGGUGGCGAAGGCGACUUCCUGGACCAAUACUGACGCUGAGGCGCGAAGGCGUGGGGAGCAAACA